rnacentral:lncRNA from 1 species
UUUGAAAUUCGGAGGCGAAAAUUCCAGUUGUGUUGGUGACUGUAAAUGCUACCGUUCUGUCCUUCCUUGUACGAGUUUUGUUAUUGGCUACUGUCAGAUAAUUAUAAGAUAACGAACCUGUCUUUCUAUCAAAAUUAGGCAUUUAAUCUUAACAAAAAUUAAAAAAUUUGGCCGCCAUUUUGAAACCGGAAAUCACUCUUUUUUGUCAUUUAUGUGUUGUUUUUUCGUACUUUAGGAACUGUUAUUAACGCUUUAUAAAAACUUACAUUGGAUUAUACCUAUAACACAACUUUCAAGGAUUUCAACUGGAUAUGACUCCAUUUGCAAAAUUAUCGGUGGCCAUCUUGAAAAAAUGGAAAUAUUUGAUUGCCAGCACCUGAUUUCUUUUACUUAUCAUUUAGUCCACCUUUAUACCAAAUUUCAUGCUUGUAUUUCA